rnacentral:rRNA from 1 species
CCUACGGGUGGCAGCAGUCGAGAAUCAUUCACAAUGGGGGAAACUCUGCCGCAGUGCCGCCGCGUGCAGGAAGAAGGUUUUCGGAUUGUAAACUGCUUUAGACGGGGAAGAAAAAAGACAUUACCUGUAGAAUAAGCUCCGCCUAACUCCGUCCCAGCAGCGGCGGUAAUACGGGGGAUGCAAGCGUUAUCCGGAUUGAUUGGGUUUAAAGGGUGCGUGGGCUGUGAGGUAAGUCAGUGGUGAAAUGCCCCCGCUCAACGGGGUGAAGUGCCAUUGAUACUGCCUUGCUGGAAUGCGGAUGCCGUGGGAGGAAUGUGUGGUGUAGCGGUGAAAUGCAUAGAUAUCACACAGAACACCGAUUGCGAAGGCAUCUCACGAAUCCGCGAUUGACGCUGAUGCACGAAAGCGUGGGUAUCAAACAGGAUUAGAUACCCCAGUAGUC